ACUGUUAUUAUCAAAGUCCAAAUCUUUCUUAAUAUUUCUAGAAUCCCCUCCAAUGGAAAUAGUAAUAUACAAAAUGAAAAUUAAAUAAUAAAAAAGAUGGCGUUUUGAUGAAGGAGAAGAGAAUAUUUCAGUUUCUUCGUCUUCGAAAAUGGUAGCCAACAAGGUUGUGCCCGCCGUUAAACACCAAGCCUUAUCCUUAACCGAUGCCGCAGCAACCAGAAUCCGUCAACUCCUACAGCAGCGCCAACGCCCUUUCCUUCGUCUCGGAGUCAAGGCUCGCGGCUGCAACGGCUUAUCUUACACCCUCAAUUAUGCAGGGUUGGGGGAGGAUGAUGGGGAGCAUCAUUGCGAUAUAGUUGUUCCAUAAACUUUUCCGACAUGUUUAAUGUGUGAGAGAAACAUGGGGGAGAAAAUUACAGUUGGUUAUUGGUUAGAAGUUAGAAGCACUCUUGCCAUUCAUACUAGAAAUGAUUGAUCUUCUUGUUCCAAAAAAAAGGUGUUGGGGUUUAGAUUUUUUUUCCUUUUACUUCUUACAUCUUAUUAGUGAAACAUGAUUAAUGUUGAAAAUCAUGGCAUGAAAUCCAAGUUAUCCCUGUUUGGCUCAGUUAUAUUUAUAUCAGCUUUUUGUGGUCACCAUAUGUGAAAUAAAUAAUAAUAUUUAUUCUGUUCUCCCUUUCCUUUCUCCUUCCCUUUUCCUCUGUUGCACUAUGCAUGGCAUGUUUUCCAGUGUUGUAGCUUGCAGGCUUUUAAUUGUGUUAAACUUUUCCGACAUGUUUAAUGUGUGAGAGAAACACAGGGGAGAAAAUUACAGCUGGUUAUUGGUUAGAAGUUAGAAGCAUUCUUGCCAUUCAUACUAGAAAUGAUUGAUCUUCUUGUUCCAAAAAAAAGGCGUGGGGUUUAGAUGUUUUUUCCUUUUACUUUUACAUCUUAUCCGAAACAUGAUUAAUGUUGAAAAUCAUAGCAUGAAAUCAAAGUUAUCCCUGUAUUGGCUCAGUUAUAUUUAUAUCAGCUUUUUGUGGGCACCAUAUUUGAAAUAAAUAAUAAUUUUGGAAAUGUUUUAUUCUGUUCUCCCUUUCCUUUCUCCUUCCCUUUCCUUCUGUUGCACCAUGCAUGGCAUGUCUUCCAGUGUUGUAGCUUGCAGGGUUUUAAUUGUGUUACUGUUGAUUACCGGCCAGUCACCAUAAGAACUUAAUUAAGGAGACAACUGUAGUCAAUGUAGUGUUUGAAACAAUUAGGUGAUGUUUGAAACAAUUAGGUGAUGAUUAUUUUAUCUUUGUUUCUGGUUAAUACUUGCUCCUUUUGCUUCCACCUCAAAAUUUUGUUUUCUUGUGGCUCAAUUCACAUUUAAUAAUGUUCUGUUCCUGUAUCAAAGUUCAGAUGAGAAGGCAAGUUUGAUGAGUUGAUUGAGGACAAGGGUGUUAAGAGACCGAUUGAUCCAAAGGCACUGAUGCAUGUUAUUGGAACCAAGAUGGAUUUUGUUGAUGACAAGUUGAGAUCUGAGUUUGUUUUCAUCAACCCCAACUCAAAAGGGCAAUGUGGUUGUGGAGAAUCCUUUAUGACAGCAAGCCGUACCGAAGCUGCCAAGAGAGGUCGUAGUUAAGGAUUGUGAAAAUUGACUGUUAACAGAU